GGGGGGGUAGCUCAGUGGGUAGAGCGCAGCGAAUUUGCUUCCUGAGGUCCUGGGUUCGAAACCCAGUUCUCCCA